rnacentral:lncRNA from 1 species
AAUUAAGUUAGAUUUUUAAGUUAGAUUUUUGUAUAUGUGUUUAAGUUAGAUUUUUAAGUUAGAUUUUUUUUAAGUUAGAUUUUUUAGUUAGAUUUUUAAGUUAGAUUUUUUUUAAGUUAGAUUUUUGUAUAUGUGUCCCCUCCGCCGUCCCACCGCCGUGACCGCCGCCGUCACAACCUAUUAGGCACCGCCCGUGGUUCCGGGGAACCGUCCCCGCCUCCGCCGUACCGCCGCCCUGACCGCCGCCCUGACUGCCGCCGUCACAACCUAGGCACCGCAUGUGGUUAUUGCUAGAAAUUCGUAAAAAUUCAUGUUAUUGCUAGAAAUUCGUAAAAAUUCAUGUUAUUGCUAGAAAUUCGUAAAAAUUCAUGUUAUUGCUAGAAAUUCGUAAAAAUUCAUGUUAUUGCUAGAAAUUCGUAAAAAUUCAUGUUAUUGCUAGAAAUUCAUAAAAAAUCAUGUUAUUGCUAGAAAUUCGUAAAAAUUCAUGUUAUUGCUAGAAAUUCGUAAAAAUUCAUGUUAUUGCUAGAAAUUCGUAAAAAAAUC